rnacentral:misc_RNA from 1 species
UGGCCACAAGUAUGCUGGUAAUGUGAUAAUCUACGGUACUGAUAAACAAGGGAAAAUUGCUGGGCAUUGGUAUGGCUAUGUUACCCCAGAUGAGGUACCUAUUUUGCUGGACGAGCAUAUCGGAGAGGGAAAAAUCCUUGAACGCCUUUGGAGGGGCCAAAUGGGACUGCAUGCUGAGACAACUGAUAAGGUGAAUGAGCUGAGUGUUCUCAGUGGAACCACUGUGGACAACAAAGGAAAUGCGCCUGUAGAAACUGCUAGUCAUGGCUGUUGUCAAGGUGCUGCAGGAUUUUCUUGUUGUAGAGAUGCGAAUGUUGAGGGAAAAGAGGUAGAGAAGGGACAGGGAAGACUUCCAUCCAGUUUCAGAAAAUGGGAUAAACCUGAAGUUUACACAGCCAUUGGCGUCGUUGGAGCAGUGGCUGUUGUUGCUGUUGCUUAUGGAUUUUACAAGUCACGCUAAAAUGUUGUCAAGAAAGUGCGUGCAUCCAGAGGUUCUUUUAGAGAGUAAUGAUGUAACUCUAGACCAUUACAUUUGCUACGUGUUAGGUGUGAAUUUUUCUGAGGGAGUAAAACGUAAAUGCAGAACGUGUUGACUGUGGAGAUGAGCUCCUCUUGUUUUCUUCAAGUGAGCCACCGUAAAAGGGCCACUUUUAAACAACUGCUACUUACUACAUAUACCUGCAGGUUUAGUUUAUACCCUACAAAGAUGCUUUAAAUGCCAAGUGUGA